rnacentral:lncRNA from 1 species
CAGCUCCUUCCUGAGCAGAACCGUGCCAAGCGCUGGGUGCAGACACACCCAGGCCCUGAGCAGCGGGGAGGUCCCCGCAGUAAAGAAGGAUGGUUGCAUCUAGAAGACGGCUAAAUGCACUUGAAUGAUUCAAGUUCGGCUUUGAUGCCAAAAUGUACACAGGAAGAGAAGAGAUGCCCCGAGCAGGAAACGAAGACCGGAGUUUUCUACACGAUGGGAGGGACCCUAGUGAUGACGACAAGAUGGCUUAAAAAGCUAAACGUAAAAAAAAAAAAAAAAAAAAAUGCAACCGCGUGAAUACUAGAAUAGAAAUGGAAUCACUGCUCUCUGGAUUUGCAAAACGACUUUGCAAAUAUGUAACUUCUUAAAGAAAGCCACAAAUGCUCAUUGAUACUCUGACCGUAUCAGCAAGGAACACAUUUGCUGUUGAAAUAUAAACUCAGUGCCAGCGAACCAAGGGAAGCGUGCCACGGGUAUUCUUUUUUAAAUCUCAUUAAAAAAAGAAUCAGUGAGAAAAAACUCUAAGAUGUGAGCAGAAGUGUACAAAUGACGGACAGAGAGUUCGGACAUGGGCAGCCGUCACCAAUUCAUAAGCAACUCCGCUCCAAAAUAGCCAGGAGCCGUCGGGGUCUGAUUGAAACUGCCUCAGGCUGGAAAGGACUCCUGUCUCCUGGUGGGGGGUGUGGUCCCCUAGACCCACCUCCUGCUCCGCCCCGGACCCCGUGGACGGCUCGCUGCCUCUGACCUGGGCAGGGGAUGCUUCUCGGCCUCACUGGCCCCCGCUGCACCUGCAGUGCCCCCCACCCCCAGCUCUCCAGGGACUGACAUUUCCUUGCAGCCUGCCAGCUUCCCUGGGCACAUCACGGAGGCAGGAUGACGGGGAAGCUUUCCCUGUGCACCUGCCUCGCCAGGCAAUGCCCCAGGUGACCUGGUCUCCGCUUGCGAUGUUUUGUUUGUUGGUUUGCCAUUUCUGCCACUGAGCCCUCCUGAGCAGCGGGCAGUCCAGGCUCCACCUGAGGCUGCCCCAGGCUGGGGCCACGAGCAGGAAGGGGGAGCAUACCGAGCACACCAGGAGGACCCGCGCCCAACCUUGGGGGCCUUGGUGAGCGGGUGACAGGGCUCCUUUCCUGCCCUCCGAGUCCCCGUCUCAAAUGUCCUUUCAGCUAGAGAAGAACUGCCGGGAUCUGACUAUAACAACCACGGACGAAUGCCCACUUCUGCCCACGGCCC